CUCUCUCUCUCUCUCUCUCUAGUCAUCUAUCUGUGUAGAAUAGAUAGCCCACAUGCCUCCUCUUCUCUUGGUUUCUCCUUUUUGAGGUCUUCAAAUAAACAAGUUUUUUAAGCACUCUUUCAAGCUUUGAUUCUGUUGCAAAAAGCCUUGAGGACCGCCUUGCCUUUUGAUAACACUCCAUAAAUCUCUCUCUCUCUGUCUUUCUCUCCUUCUCCCUUUCUUCUUUUGCUACAUAAGUUGUGAAGCAGUUUUUAUUAUAUAUGACUGCAUAUCCUUGGUAGACACUGGCUUUAGCAGCCAUUGUGAUUGUUGAUAUUUUGCAUUUGUAUCUUUUAUUAAAUUUGGUAUACGUGACUCAAUUAUAACUCGAUUGAUAGUUCCAGUGUCUACCAUUUAUAAUUCCAUGACAACUUGUGAACUUUGCUGUCUGUUCUGCUUUGCUUUAUUUUCUGCUGCUAUAAAUCCAGUAAUUAUCUUUCUAUUUUACUGUAUCUAGCUUCAGUUAUAGAUUGAUCAAUCAUACAUCAUCUUUUCGUGUAGUUUGCUCUAGGUACAAAUUGGGUGUUUCUACAGCUAUGAGUGUGAGAUGGCCAAGGUUUCUAACACCAACACAUCUCUCUCAGAUCAUAAGAAACCAAAGAAAUCCAUUAACAGCUCUGCAGAUUUUUAAGGAAGCAAAAGUUAAAUACCCCAACUAUGGUCACAAUGGUCCAGUGUAUGCCACCAUGAUUGGAAUCCUUAGCAGCUCAGGUCGAAUCACUGAGAUGAAGGAGGUCAUUGAUCAGAUGCAAGAGGAUUCCUGUGAGUGCAAGGAUUCAGUCUUUGCAACUGCAAUCAAUACCUAUGCAAAAGCGGGCUUUCUAAAUGAAGCCAUCUCUCUCUUCAAGAGCAUUCCAAAGUUCAAUUGUGUAAAUUGGACUGAAUCUUUUAAUACCCUUUUGCAAAUAAUGGUGAAAGAAUCUAUGUUUCAAUCAGCUCACAGUCUUUUCCUGGAUAACUCAUAUGGGUGGGAAGUGAAGUCUAGGGUUUGCUCCUUGAACUUGCUUAUGGAUGUUCUUUGUCAACAUAACCGCUCUGACCUUGCAUUGCAAGUCUUCCAAGAGAUGACUUAUCAGGGUUGCCACCCUGAUAGGGAUAGUUAUGAAAUUCUCAUGAGGGGUUUGUGUAAAGAUAGAAGGCUGAAUGAGGCUAUCCAUUUAUUAUAUUCAAUGUUUUGGAGGAUUUCUCAAAAGGGAAGCGGUGAGGAUAUUGUGAUAUAUAGAAUCCUUUUGGAUGCUUUAUGUGAUAAUGGACAGGUUGAGCAAGCUUUAGAAAUUCUCAACAAGAUCUUAAAGAAGGGGUUGAAGGCACCAAAACUAUGUUGCCACGGCCGUGAUCUGUAUCAAUGCAAUAGUGGUGAUGAUAUAGAAGCCGCUAAGCUUUUAAUUAAUGAAGCUUUAAUUAGAGGUGUGAUUCCUAGUCUGGGUAGCUAUACUGCCAUGGCUGUUGAACUUUACGGUGAAGGUAGGAUUAGUCUAGCUGAUAAAGUGCUUGAUGAAACACAGGAUAGAGGCUUUAGGCCGUCACUUUUAACUUAUGAAGCAAAGGUAUCAGCAUUGUGUAGAGAAGGUAGAGUUCAUGAAGCAGUUAAAGUAAUUGAGGUGGAGAUGAUGAAGGAAAAUUGUGUUCCAAAUGUAAGAUUGUAUAAUAUCUUACUGAAAGGCUUGUGUGAUGCAGGGAAUUCAGCAGCCGCUGUUGGGUAUUUGAAAAAGAUGGCUAAGCAAGUGGGUUGUGUUGCCAAUGAGGAGACCUAUUGCAUUUUAGUGCAUGGGCUAUGUCGAGAUGGUAGAUUUGUUGAAGGAAGUAGGAUUUUGGAGGAGAUGUUAAUUAAAUCAUAUCGGCCUCCCAUUGAUGCUCACAACGUGCUUAUACGAGGCCUUUGCUCCAUGGGCAGGCUAUAUGAAGCUAUUGUGUGGCUAGAGGAUAUGAUUAGCCUGGGUAGGUCACCAGAACCUUCUGUAUGGAACUCCCUGGUAGCUUCUGCAUGUUGCAACAUGGCUAACAUUGAUGUUCACAUUGAAGCGGCUUUGUAGUUCAUAGUUUAUAUUGGAGCAGCUGUUCAUGUGAAGUUCGCUCUGCUAAAUAACGGUUUUCUUCAAGUAUACAAUUGCCUAAUGAAUUCAUGGCUUUGAUUGUGAUUCAUAAUUUACUUGAAUCUCUGUACAGCUAAUGGCAAAAGCAUCUUAAAAAUGUUUAUUGUUAUUUAGUUAAUUUUUGUAACAAUAAUUAAUGUAUAUUCCUAUCUUUCAAAAAAAAAAAUUUAUGUGUAUGAACCGAACUGUGAAAGUGUAAAUUUCCCGAUCAGCAGAUGGCAAAUCUGUUUAUAUUAUGGAGCCU
rnacentral:misc_RNA from 1 species